rnacentral:rRNA from 1 species
AGAGUUUGAUCCUGGCUCAGAACGAACGCUAGCGGCGUGGAUAAGACAUGCAAGUCGAACGGGAUCAAGUUUGUAGUAAUACAGACUUGGUUCAGUGGCGCACGGGUGCGUAACACGUGAGCAAUCUGCCGGGAAGUGGGGGAUAGCUCGCCGAAAGGCGAAUUAAUACCGCAUGUGGCCAUCCUUCGAGUGGAGGAAAAGCCAAAGCAGCAAUGCGCUUCCUGAUGAGCUCGCGGCCUAUCAGCUCGAUGGCGGGGUAAUGGCCCACCAUGGCUUUGACGGGUAGCUGGUCUGAGAGGACGACCAGCCACACUGGAACUGAGACACGGUCCAGACACCUACGGGUGGCAGCAGUCGAGAAUUUUUCACAAUGGGGGAAACCCUGAUGGAGCGACGCCGCGUGGAGGAUGAAGGCCUUCGGGUUGUAAACUCCUGUCAUGCGGGAACAAGCAAGUGAUAGUACCGCAAGAGGAAGAGACGGCUAACUCUGUGCCAGCAGCCGCGGUAAUACAGAGGUCUCAAGCGUUGUUCGGAUUCAUUGGGCGUAAAGGGUGCGUAGGUGGUGAUGCAAGUCUGGUGUGAAAUCUCGGAGCUCAACUCCGAAAUUGCACCGGAUACUGCGUGACUCGAGGACUGUAGAGGAGAUCGGAAUUCACGGUGUAGCAGUGAAAUGCGUAGAUAUCGUGAGGAAGACCAGUUGCGAAGGCGGAUCUCUGGGCAGUUCCUGACACUGAGGCACGAAGGCCAGGGGAGCAAACGGGAUUAGAUACCCUAGUAGUCC